CCCCCCUAGCAAUGGGCAGAGAGGCACCGUGUUGGUGGUAGAGUUCUUAUAUCAGUCAGGGGCAGAGCAGAUGCAGUCCUUUGUUCAUCCUAGUCCUUGAUCCUAGCUUAGUGGCCAAAGCUGCUUCAUGCCUAGGACUCAUUA